GCCUUCCUACCAGGAACUCUGCUGCCAGAGGUUCAAGUGAUGACAGCCAAGAAGCAGAAUUCCAGAAUUCUCAGGAUUCUCCUCAGCCGGAGGCACGUGUGGUGGUCCCAGACCGCAGUCAGACACCGGGAGAAGAGUCCUCUGUCUCGGAGUAUUUCUCCUGCGUGUCGUCUCCAGGAAAGCUUCUAGCUGCUGCUGAGGACGGAGGAGGAGGAGAAGGAAUCCUUCAGUGGCAUCAGUAUAUUCUUCAAACUCAGCCUCUUGAGAUGACUCUACCCGAGGUCUUGGAGGAAUGGCAAGCUU